rnacentral:lncRNA from 1 species
UACUGAAUCAUCUCAACAUAUCUUUACUAAAUGUUUAAUGAACUUUCCAGUCUCAGUUGCCUUCUCUUUGAAAUAUGCUGGAUUCUUCUAUGUUCCAGGCUGGGUAUCUUGUCAUUUUCUUCAUUUUCUGGAAACAGAUACUUACGGUCGAGGACUUAUAGGCAGAUCCAUGUGCAAAUUGUGGCUCUAAAUAUUACUAUAUGUAUUACCUUAGGUCACUUCUUUAACCUUCCC